rnacentral:tRNA from 1 species
UUUUUAUGAACUUUUACUUUUAAUUAAUUCACUUAAUUUAAUUCACUUAAUAUAGAUAAAGUGCUCUACUAAGAUAAUGUG